rnacentral:ncRNA from 1 species
UCUUGCUUGUAUUAUUCAUUUUAACAUUAAUUUAUAUGUAAAUGUUUGUAAUUUAAAUUUUCUAAAGGAUUAUUUUUAUAAUUUAGCAGUAGAUAAUUUUAUUGUUAUUAAGUAAGUUUAGAUUUGGUAAAUGUUAUUUAGGUUUGGUGAAAGUUGUGCCAGCAUCCGCGGUUAUACAGCAAAAUCAAAUGAAUAUUAUUAGCUUUUAAGUAAUUAUUAAUUAAUAUAUCUAUAGAAAUUGAAAUAUUAUAAGGUGAAAUAUUUAAUAUUUUGAGGAAUAUAUUUUUAGUAAGAUUGUUAUGAAAUUAAAAAUCUAAACUAGGAUUAGAUACCCUAUUAUUUUUAUCGUAAAAUUUUAAGCUGGAGUAUUAGUAGAUAUGAUCUUGAAACUUAAAGAAUUUGGCGGCAUUAUAGUCUAUUUAGAGGAAUCUGUUAAGUAAUCGAUAAUCCACGUUGAACCUUACUUAUAUUAUUUCUUGUAUACCGUUGUUUAAUGAAUAUACUUUUAGGUAGAUUUUCUAAAUAUAAAAAUAUUUAAUAUUUCAAAUCAAGGUGCAGUAAUGUAUAAGUUGAGUAAUGGAUUACAAUAAAUUGUAUUUAUUAUGGAUUUUUAUUGGGAUAUAAUUUGAAGGUGGAUUUAAUUGUAAUUUUAUAUAGAUUAUUAAAAUGAUUUAUAGCUCUAUGGUGUGUACACAUCGCCCGUCACUCUCGUUAUAAGAUGAGAUAAGUCGUAACAAAGUAAGUGUAUCGGAAGAUGUACUUAGAAAGUAAA